ACAGCAGAGCUGAGUUUGUGUUUGUUUGUCUUUACCUUCAGAGGAUGCAUACAAAGUUGCACAUAGUGGCUUGAAAAAGGCUCCGCCUCCCUUACCUUUGCCAUGGCUUUACUGGCGCGCUCUUUGUGACGGCCUGGAGUUUUGGAUGAAUUCAGGACAGAGCUUCUACCAUCAGUGGUGGAGAUGCUGGAGCUGCAGG